rnacentral:rRNA from 1 species
UCUACGGGUGGCAGCAGUGGGGAAUAUUGGGCAAUGGGCGCAAGCCUGACCCAGCAACGCCGCGUGAAGGAAGAAGGCUUUCGGGUUGUAAACUUCUUUUGUCAGGGACGAAGCAAGUGACGGUACCUGACGAAUAAGCCACCGCUAACUACGUGCCAGCACCCGCGGUAAUCCGUAGGUGGCAAGCGUUAUCCGGAUUUACUGGGUGUAAAGGUCGGGUAGGCGGGACUGCAAGUCAGAUGUGAAAUCCACGGGCUCAACCUGUGACCUGCAGUUGAAACUGUAGUUCUUGAGUACUGGAGAGGAAGACGGAAUGCCGAGUGUAGCGGUGAAAUGCGUAGAUAUUAGGAGGAACACCAGUGGCGAAGGCGGUCUGCUGGACAGCAACUGACGCUGAGGAGCGAAAGCGUGGGGAGCAAACAGGAUUAGAUACCCGAGUAGUC